UAUUGGUUUAGUUAAGGGGCAUAAACCAAUUUGGAUCAAAUGUUGUAUUUGAUCCUUAUUUGCUAAGGCCUUCUUAUUAUGGGGACUGUUUUUAUGCUUUGGAUUGUCCUCUUAAGUAGUCUUGGACAUUU
rfam:Spinacia oleracea cultivar SynViroflay scaffold7139.con0009.1, whole genome shotgun sequence.